CUAGUAUUGGGGAAACCUUCCCCAGUGGAGCUGAGCUGUAACACACAUUUGCUCUGACUCGGAUAGACUCUCCUGGUGCCUUGCUCCCCCUAGUGGUCUGAGCCGUCCAGUCCACCUACAACAGACUCGAUCGCUCAGCACCCCGCCCACCAGCUGCAGUUAGGACUGCAGCCAUGUCACCUCCCUGAGCAGCAUGGUGACUGUCACAGAUUUGUGACUAGCUGAAUCCCACACACUUUCAUCAGUGUGUGUGUGUGUGUGUGUGUGUGUGUGUGUGUGUAGAUUCUGUGUAUAUUUGAGUUUUGUAUAUGUAUAUAUGUAGGAUGGUGUAGAUAUCUAUGUAUAUGUUCAACCUAUGUCACAUAUGUUACAUCUGUGUCAUGUAUGUUCUCUGGUGUGUGUGAAUGGCAUAUGUGCCCAUUCACAGAAUCUAGAGGAAGACACUGAUAUGUCUCUAUUAAUGAACCUUAUUUCAGAGUAGAACAGUAUAUUAGGAGUUCAUAGCAACUGGAAGUUGAUUUUGUUAGGUGGUAUAUUUGCUAACAGGUUAAGAUGGGAUUUUCUAGCUGGGAAUCAGUAUGGACCUAAGAGCCCUGUGCACCCACUGCAGGCCAGCCUUGCCUACCUCAGGAUGCCUGAGGACAGGUUGUAAGGUUUGUGAGGACACUGUCAAUUUUCUGUGAGAGACAAAGUUUAAAAAGUGAGGCACAGAACUUGAACCCAACUGAUAAACAUGCCAAGUGAAGUUUCUGACUCAGGUGAGCUUCGUUACUUUUUGCUUGACUGUAAGCCCAGAUGCAAUUUCAGGUAGAAACGGAAGUUCCUGGUGCAGACAGCAUGGUGUCUGCUUUGUGAGAUGCUUGUCAGCAGGCUAUGUGGUACCCAACACCAUGGAAACUGGAUCCUGUUGAUGGGGAUGCUCUGCCGGGCUCCCAGGAGAAUCUUCCAGGAUGCUGUUUGGAUCUUUGCACUUUGAUGAUCACUGGCUACUGAAGCUCUAGAGUAUCACAGGUAUGAUAGGAUUUCCCGAUCAAAGUGGGCCACCUCACAAGCUAUGUGAAACAAGAGGAGAUGACUGUAGCUCUGUGGACUGCAUCAGGGUUGUCUCAUGUGAAAGAGCAUGAGGCAGCCCUCCUCCCCUCCUUGUACUCCACGUCAGCCCUUCAGAUUGUCCAGUCCUGCAACCAUGUUGUCCUGAUGGCCAAUCAUCCUGACUGAGCACUAUGAUCACCAGUCACAGCACAGUACACUAUGAGUCUGUCUGGCCUAGGGAGGGUCUGCUUGCCUGAACAUGUUUCCUGGAAGUCUGGAAUUGCUUUGAAGCUGUAAUGACCUUACUGCAGAAGGUAGUGCUUGCUUCUGUCCAGCAACAAAAUGGGUGUCCUGCAAAGGGACGACACGACAAAUUCAUCGUCAGCGGCAGACUACAAUGCAAAGCUCACUAGGAACUGUGAGUGGGUGCACAGUCUCUUUGCUGCUUCUGCUAAUGAUGGCCUUGCCGAGAAGUGACACUACCCAGAACACAGUCAUUCUCCAUAAAGCUCACAGAAACUCAUGUUCUACUUAUCUAAGUGUAUUUUGAAACAGAUUUGUGGUUUCUUAACAAUGCUAUUUAAUUCUACAAUAAAAGUUGACUGGUGUGUCCUGCU
ensembl:lincRNA 4930553P18Rik RIKEN cDNA 4930553P18 gene